rnacentral:ncRNA from 1 species
AUUCUCAGGGCGGAGUGAAAUUCUCCACCGGUGGUGAUUCAUUAAAUGAGAAAAUUUAUUUUGAAAAUGAUAAGUCCACGAGCACAAUUGUGUUGAUUUGGUGAAAGUCCAAAACCGACGGUGACAGUCCGGAUGGAAGAGAAUA